rnacentral:tRNA from 1 species
AAAGAGUUAGUUAAAAUAUAACAUUAAAUUGUCAAAUUAAAAUUACUACUAGUGCUCUUUU